ACAGCAAUGAAAGAGUUUCAGAAAGAAGAGAACUUUGGCCCAAAAACAAUAUUAAAGGGAAAGAGCCGUAAGUACUCAGUGCAAGAAACAUGGACACUCAGUGACAGAGGGAUGGAUCUUCAAUGAAUGGUGCCCUUCCUGUACCCCACGCAGCUGUGGUGCUGGAGAAAUCGCUCCUUCCUUCAAUCAGGGCUUUGAGAGCCAAGAGGAAAAGGCAGAAAUGCCACGCUGUCAGGAAAGAGGCAAUGGGGAACCAGGGAAUUUUGAGAAGGGAGAGACAGGAUCAGAACCUCAUCAAGAUCAACCUGGCAACCCAGGACAGAAUGAACUGAUGGAAGAAAGCAUCGAGGAGAGAAGUCCACUUACAGGCAGCCUUCUGAGCAAAGAGAAAACUAGAUGGCAAGGGGAAGGAAAAGAAGUGUGUGCACAUGCUCUGUCGCUUCAGUUGUGUCUGACUCUCCAUGACCCCAUGGACCGCAGCCCGCCAGGCUCCUCAGUCCACGGAAUUCUCCAGUUUGCUGCAGUUAACUGGAAGCUGAGGAUCUUUUGCCGAUGGGAGAACCCAAUCCACCCACAGCCUGGGUCCGUCUCUACCCCUGGAGUCUUUCGGAAGCAAAGCAAGGUCAUUUCAGCAGCGUUC